GGGUUGUGAGGUUAAGCGACUAAGCGUACACGGUGGAUGCCCUGGCAGUCAGAGGCGAUGAAGGGCGUGCUAAUCUGCGAUAAGCGCCGGUAAGGUGAUAUGAACCGUUAUAACCGGCGAUACCCGAAUGGGGAAACCCAGUGUGAUUCGUCACACUAUCAUUAACUGAAUCCAUAGGUUAAUGAGGCGAACCGGGGGAACUGAAACAUCUAAGUACCCCGAGGAAAAGAAAUCAACCGAGAUUCCCCCAGUAGCGGCGAGCGAACGGGGAGGAGCCCAGAGCCUGAAUCAGCAUGUGUGUUAGUGGAAGCGUCUGGAAAGGCGCGCGAUACAGGGUGACAGCCCCGUACACAAAAGCGCAUGUGCUGUGAGCUCGAUGAGUAGGGCGGGACACGUGGUAUCCUGUCUGAAUAUGGGGGGACCAUCCUCCAAGGCUAAAUACUCCUGACUGACCGAUAGUGAACCAGUACCGUGAGGGAAAGGCGAAAAGAACCCCGGCGAGGGGAGUGAAAAAGAACCUGAAACCGUGUACGUACAAGCAGUGGGAGCACCCUUUGGGGUGUGACUGCGUACCUUUUGUAUAAUGGGUCAGCGACUUAUAUUCUGUAGCAAGGUUAACCGUAUAGGGGAGCCGGAGGGAAACCGAGUCUUAAUUGGGCGUUAAGUUGCAGGGUAUAGACCCGAAACCCGGUGAUCUAGCCAUGGGCAGGUUGAAGGUUGGGUAACACUAACUGGAGGACCGAACCGACUAAUGUUGAAAAAUUAGCGGAUGACCUGUGGCUGGGGGUGAAAGGCCAAUCAAACCGGGAGAUAGCUGGUUCUCCCCGAAAGCUAUUUAGGUAGCGCCUCGUGAAUUCAUCUCCGGGGGUAGAGCACUGUUUCGGCUAGGGGGCCAUCCCGGCUUACCAACCCGAUGCAAACUGCGAAUACCGGAGAAUGUUAUCACGGGAGACACACGGCGGGUGCUAACGUCCGUCGUGAAGAGGGAAACAACCCAGACCGCCAGCUAAGGUCCCAAAGUCAUGGUUAAGUGGGAAACGAUGUGGGAAGGCCCAGACAGCCAGGAUGUUGGCUUAGAAGCAGCCAUCAUUUAAAGAAAGCGUAAUAGCUCACUGGUCGAGUCGGCCUGCGCGGAAGAUGUAACGGGGCUAAACCAUGCACCGAAGCUGCGGCAGCGACGCUUAUGCGUUGUUGGGUAGGGGAGCGUUCUGUAAGCCUGUGAAGGUGUGUCGUGAGGCAUGCUGGAGGUAUCAGAAGUGCGAAUGCUGACAUAAGUAACGAUAAAGCGGGUGAAAAGCCCGCUCGCCGGAAGACCAAGGGUUCCUGUCCAACGUUAAUCGGGGCAGGGUGAGUCGACCCCUAAGGCGAGGCCGAAAGGCGUAGUCGAUGGGAAACGGGUUAAUAUUCCCGUACUUGGUGUUACUGCGAAGGGGGGACGGAGAAGGCUAUGUUGGCCGGGCGACGGUUGUCCCGGUUUAAGCGUGUAGGUGUGUGUUCCAGGUAAAUCCGGUUCACUUUAACACUGAGGCGUGAUGACGAGGCACUACGGUGCUGAAGCAACAAAUGCCCUGCUUCCAGGAAAAGCCUCUAAGCAUCAGGUAACAUCAAAUCGUACCCCAAACCGACACAGGUGGUCAGGUAGAGAAUACCAAGGCGCUUGAGAGAACUCGGGUGAAGGAACUAGGCAAAAUGGUGCCGUAACUUCGGGAGAAGGCACGCUGACACGUAGGUGAAGUGAUUUACUCACGGAGCUGAAGUCAGUCGAAGAUACCAGCUGGCUGCAACUGUUUAUUAAAAACACAGCACUGUGCAAACACGAAAGUGGACGUAUACGGUGUGACGCCUGCCCGGUGCCGGAAGGUUAAUUGAUGGGGUCAGCGCAAGCGAAGCUCCUGAUCGAAGCCCCGGUAAACGGCGGCCGUAACUAUAACGGUCCUAAGGUAGCGAAAUUCCUUGUCGGGUAAGUUCCGACCUGCACGAAUGGCGUAAUGAUGGCCAGGCUGUCUCCACCCGAGACUCAGUGAAAUUGAACUCGCUGUGAAGAUGCAGUGUACCCGCGGCAAGACGGAAAGACCCCGUGAACCUUUACUAUAGCUUGACACUGAACAUUGAGCCUUGAUGUGUAGGAUAGGUGGGAGGCUUUGAAGUGUGGACGCCAGUCUGCAUGGAGCCGACCUUGAAAUACCACCCUUUAAUGUUUGAUGUUCUAACGUGGACCCGUGAUCCGGGUUGCGGACAGUGUCUGGUGGGUAGUUUGACUGGGGCGGUCUCCUCCUAAAGAGUAACGGAGGAGCACGAAGGUUGGCUAAUCCUGGUCGGACAUCAGGAGGUUAGUGCAAUGGCAUAAGCCAGCUUGACUGCGAGCGUGACGGCGCGAGCAGGUGCGAAAGCAGGUCAUAGUGAUCCGGUGGUUCUGAAUGGAAGGGCCAUCGCUCAACGGAUAAAAGGUACUCCGGGGAUAACAGGCUGAUACCGCCCAAGAGUUCAUAUCGACGGCGGUGUUUGGCACCUCGAUGUCGGCUCAUCACAUCCUGGGGCUGAAGUAGGUCCCAAGGGUAUGGCUGUUCGCCAUUUAAAGUGGUACGCGAGCUGGGUUUAGAACGUCGUGAGACAGUUCGGUCCCUAUCUGCCGUGGGCGCUGGAGAACUGAGGGGGGCUGCUCCUAGUACGAGAGGACCGGAGUGGACGCAUCACUGGUGUUCGGGUUGUCAUGCCAAUGGCACUGCCCGGUAGCUAAAUGCGGAAGAGAUAAGUGCUGAAAGCAUCUAAGCACGAAACUUGCCCCGAGAUGAGUUCUCCCUGAGACUUAGAGUCUCCUGAAGGAACGUUGAAGACGACGACGUUGAUAGGCCGGGUGUGUAAGCGCAGCGAUGCGUUGAGCUAACCGGUACUAAUGAACCGUGAGGCUUAACCUUACAACGCCGAAG
rnacentral:rRNA from 3 species